AUUGAACGCUGGCGGAAUGCUUUACACAUGCAAGUCGAGCGGCAGCACGGGGGCAACCCUGGUGGCGAGCGGCGAACGGGUGAGUAAUACAUCGGAACAUGCCCAGUCGUGGGGGAUAACACUUCGAAAGAAGUGCUAAUACCGCAUACGUCCUGAGGGAGAAAGCGGGGGAUCUUAGGACCUCGCGCGAUUGGAGUGGCCGAUGUCAGAUUAGCUAGUUGGUGGGGUAAAGGCCUACCAAGGCAACGAUCUGUAGCUGGUCUGAGAGGAUGAGCAGCCAUACUGGGACUGAGACACGGCCCAGACUCCUACGGGAGGCAGCAGUGGGGAAUUUUGGACAAUGGGGGCAACCCUGAUCCAGCCAUUCCGCGUGAGUGAAGAAGGCCUUCGGGUUGUAAAGCUCCUUCGGCAGGAACGAAACGGCGAGCUCUAACAUAGCUUGCUAAUGACGGUACCUGAAGAAGAAGCACCGGCUAACUACGUGCCAGCCGCCGCAGUAAAAC
rnacentral:rRNA from 1 species